rnacentral:rRNA from 1 species
CCUACGGGGGGCAGCAGUGGGGAAUAUUGGACAAUGGGGGGAACCCUGAUCCAGCGACGCCGCGUGAGUGAAGAAGUAUUUCGGUAUGUAAAGCUCUAUCAGCAGGGAAGAAAGAAAUGACGGUACCUGACUAAGAAGCCCCGGCUAACUACGUGCCAGCAGCCGCGGUAAUACGUAGGGGGCAAGCGUUAUCCGGAUUUACUGGGGGUAAAGGGGGCGUAGACGGCGAUGCAAGUCUGAAGUGAAAGGCGGGGGCCCAACCCCCGGACUGCUUUGGAAACUGUAUGGCUGGAGUGCAGGAGAGGUAAGUGGAAUUCCUAGUGUAGCGGUGAAAUGCGUAGAUAUUAGGAGGAACACCAGUGGCGAAGGCGGCUUACUGGACUGUAACUGACGUUGAGGCUCGAAAGCGUGGGGAGCAAACAGGAUUAGAUACACCAGUAGUC